AGAGACAGCAGCCGCCACGGUAAUACGGAGGGUGCAAGCGUUAAUCGUAAUUACUGGGCGUAAAGCGCACGCAGGCGGUCUGACAAGUCAGAUGUGAAAUCCCCGGGCUUAACCUGGGAACUGCAUUUGAAACUGUCAGGCUGGAGUCUUGUAGAGGGGGGUAGAAUUCCAGGUGUAGCGGUGAAAUGCGUAGAGAUCUGGAGGAAUACCGGUGGCGAAGGCGGCCCCCUGGACAAAGACUGACGCUCAGGUGCGAAAGCGUGGGGAGCAAACAGGAUUAGAUACCCCAGUAGUCCCUGUCUCUUAUAC
rnacentral:rRNA from 1 species